rnacentral:lncRNA from 1 species
UCAUCUAGCGGAGUAUGGAUGACGACCACGGACUCUUCUAGACAGUCUAGUGGAACACUAGCAGGCUCGCAACCUGUAGGUGUUUGUGAACGAUGUGUUCACCGGUGUACUCCAUCCCCCACAUGGUUGCCUUUAGGACAUUUAUUGCUAAGGAAUCCCCUUAGCAGUAGUGUCCAUCCCGAUGAUGAUCCUUAGGCUAGGUCCCUUAUGAUAGGUGUUUAGGGACGUAAAGUGAGGAUAAUGGGAACGGAUAAUCGGGUUAUUAUUGAUUGAUGAAAUUAAUAAACUUAUUUAUUGUGGGUUGAAAACCCUAUAUGCUCACCAGGCUCCCCAGCUUGACCCACUCAGUUUCUUGUAUUACAGGUAGUGGCGCAUGAGCAUAGAUGUGAUGUUUUGGGAUGAGGGAUUACGGAUAUAGGCCUGUAGAUACGAAAUAAUGUAGUAAGACUUAUAUUGUACUGUUUAUGGUUUUGAUUUGUAUCAAACAUGACAUCCCAAGUCUUUUAAUGAAAUACAUUUCCUCGGAAAUGCUUUUGAUAAAUCUUUAUCAUAUUUUGUUUUGGGACAAAUUACGCAACACUUUUAUUUAAAAUUUUACUCUGAUUUUCAAACAAAGCAUAAAGAAAAUCGGUCUUUUCUGGCCGUCAAAAUGGGGAUAUCACAGUUGGUAUCAGAGCAUUAGUUUAAGUGAACUAGGAAUUUUUAGGAUUUCUAGACUUAAACCUAGAAUGCUAAGCGAUGAUUGUGAGGUGUGAGCACUAGCUUAUUUUAGAAAUUGUGUCUAAAAUGCUUUUAUGUGCUAAAUGCUUUGUGCAUGUAUGUUGUUAUUUUUUCGGAUCUAUGGUCUGUUGCCGACCGGAUCUGGAAACCUUAUGUGUUUAGGAUUCUAAACGUACGACUACGAUAUUAGAACUAGCAUGUAAACGUUUCGGAGUGAUAAGGACGAUUUAAACAUCUAUCCUAAAUAAAGAUCUAAAUUCACCUUAUUCGGUGUAUAGAUCAAGAUGGCAAGGACCCGUAGUGGAAACGUAAACGCAAAUGGAGAUAGGAACCAACCCCCAGUGGUUCAGCAAAUACCUGUUGUAGAAGAAGUUGCACCUGAGCCAGUCACCAUGGCUGGAGUUCAAGCUAUGAUUCGGGUACGCUAGCUGAACAAAGGGAAGAAAUGAGAUAGAUGCUCCACGAAAAUAGGGACGAACCUACCAUACAUGUUGAACCGAUGGAGCCAGUUCCCAAGCGAUCUGAGGAAGGGAACUACAGACACAAAGUGAGCCAAGUAGCCACUCUAGGUGAGAAAAGGGAUGGCCCAGAAGGGAGAAACAACAAGGAUGGGCGGAUGUACAAAAAUUUCUUGGGUGCGAUACCACCAAGUCUCUCAGGAAGCCCAAAGCCUGUUGAGAUUAUGGACUGGAUCUCCGAGAUGGAGAUGGUGUUUGAGAGUUGCGACUGCAGAAAAAAAAGCAGAAGACCGUAUUCGCUGUGAGACAAUUGAAAACUGGAGUCUUGAGCUGGUGGAAGCUAUUGGCAGAUACAAUGCCGCGAGGAGAAGCUUCAAAAAUGUCAUGGGAUGAGUUCUUGGAGCAACUGAAGGCGCAAUACUGUUCAGAGAUAGAUCUGAUUGAUCUGAACAAAGAGUUCCAAAAUUUGAAGAAGGGGAGAAUGAGCAUCGAUGACUAUGUUGUUGCAUUCACGGAAAAGAUGAAGUUGUUCCCAUACUUAGUGCCAACCGAACUUUCCAAAAUUGAGAAGUUCGCAAACGGACUGCCGGCUGACUUUGGCCCAACAGUCAAGAUGGCAACCACUCUGAAAUCAGCUGUUCGAGCAGUUAAGAACGUAGAGACCCAACAAAAGGAAAGAGGUCUGGAAAGGGCUGAGGUUGGUGAAAAACGGAAGUUCGAUGGAUCCUCGAAGUCCAACAAGAAGAGUAGAUUCUCGAAGUCUGGUUCAAGAGGAGGAGGAUCAGAAGCGAAGUGGUAUGACAACUGCAAGAAGAAGCACUCUGGGAAGUGUGACGGAGGGGUCACUUGUUUCAAAUGGGGAAAGCCUGGGCACUAUGCCAAUGAAUGCACCCUCAUCCAGAAGGCCUAUUAUGGAUGUAAUGAAGAAGGGCACAUUUUGAAGGACUGCCCAAAGAAGAAGGAGGCAGGAAGACCCAACAUACCACCGAAACCGAAGGCGACAGCCUUCCAGAUGACGCUCGAGGAUGCGAAGGAGGCAGCAGACGUCGCUUCAGGUAGCUUUCUUGUAAAUGGUUUGCCUGCAAAUAUACUAUUUGAUUCCGGAGCCAACUACUCCUUUGUGUCGCAUAAAUUUGGUGGGAAAUUAGCAUUGCCUGUAGAAAAACUUGAUAAUACCCUGAUUGUAGAAGUUGCCAGUGGCAAAUUCGUACCUGUUAGUAAUCGUAUUAGGAACAUCGUCAUCGACCUAAACGGAAACGAAUUCCACGAAGAGCUAUUACCCAUAGAGUUAUACGGUUUCGAUAUUGUUUUCGGUAUGGAUUGGCUUAGCGUCAACGAUGCCAAGAUAUUAUGCCGAAAGAAGAUAGUAAGGGUAAACCCGCCCGAAAAGGAGUCAUUUAUGGUGUACGGGGACAAACGCAGAGUGAAUUCUGGAAUCAUCUCCCUGAUGAAAGACGGGAAAUGUUUGUCCAAAGGAUGUGCAUCAUACUUGACAUUCGUAAUCGAUGCUAAGAAGGAAAAGCAAGAGGUGUAGAAUAUACCAGUUGUGUGUGAUUAUCCGGAAGUCUUUCCCGAAGAUCUUCCCGGAUUACCACCUGAUAGGCAAGUGGAGUUUCAUAUAGACUUGUUACCAGGCACAACACCAAUAGCAAAGGAACCUUACCGAUUAGCACCGACGGAGAUGAAGGAGCUUAUGACGCAACUUCAAGAGCUGUUGGACAAUGAUUUCAUUCGACCUAGUUCAUCACCCUAGGGAGCUCCGGUAUUAUUCGUGAAGAGGAAGGAUGGAAGUAUGAGAAUGUGUAUAGACUACCGAGAGCUGAAUAAGGCAACGGUGAAGAACAAGUAUCCAUUACCGAGGAUUGAUGACCUAUUCGGUUAGCUGCAAGCUUCGAGCUACUUCUCAAAGAUCGAUCUUAGGUCAGGAUAUCAUCAGCUGAAGGUGAGAGAGCAAGAUAUUGAGAAGACUGCACUCAGAACUCGAUAUGGACACUACGAGUUCUUGGUUAUGUCAUUUGGACUAACCAAUGCUCCUGCAGCAUUCAUGGAUUUGAUGAACAGGGUUUGUAAACCAUUCCUCGAUAAAUUCGUGAUAGUGUUCAUCGACGACAUUCUCAUCUACUCGAAAAGCCAGGAGGAGCAUGGCAUGCAUCUACAAGAAGUGUUGGAAGUAUUGAAGAAGGAGAAGCUUUACGCUAAGUUCUCCAAAUGCGACUUUUGGAUACGAGAAGUCCAGUUCUUGGGUCACGUGGUUAACCAGGAAGGGAUAAUGGUUGGCCCCGCAAAGAUUGAGGUUGUGAUGAAGUGGGAACGUCCAAAGAGUCCCACAGAGAUUCGAAGCUUUCUAGGAUUAGCCGGGUAUUAUCGACGAUUUAUCCAAGGCUUUUCUUCGAUAGCUUAUCCAUUAACAGCUUUGACCCAUAAAGGAGCUACAUAUACAUGGAGUGAGAAACACGAUGAGGCAUUCGAGUAGCUAAAGAAGAAGUUAUGUAAAGCACUUAUACUUUCUCUACCCGAUGAAGUUGAAGAUUUCGCGGUGUACAGUGAUGCAUCUGGAGUCGGGUUGGGUUGUGUUCUGACCCAAAGAGAAAAGGUGAUAGCAUACGCAUCUCAACAAUUGAAAGAGCACGAAAAGAACUACCACACUCACGAUUUGGAGUUGGCAUCGGUAGUUUUCGCUCUAAAGAUAUGGAGGCAUUACCUCUACGACACGAAGUGCAAGCUUUUCACUGAUCAUAAGAGUCUCCAGUAUCUCUUUAAUCAGAAAGAAUUGAACAUGAGGAAACGACGCUGGUUAGAGUUACUCAAGGACUAUGACUAUGAGAUACUUUACCACCCAGGUAAAGCAAAUGCUGUUGCUGAUGCUCUCAGUCGGAAAGUCAAUCUUGAAAGGAAAAGGCCAAGAGCGUUGAGAAUUGAAGUCGUCUCGACGAUUGUGGAAAGUAUCAGGAAAGCUCAGGAAGAAGCUUUAGAGAAGAAUGACCGAAAGGAAGAACGUUUGGGCAAAACGUUAAUGUUUGGUACAAACANUAUUCCAAGAUCGAAUUUGGGUACCUAAGACGGGAGGAAUAAGAGAUCUUCUGAUGGAAGAAGCACACAAGACCACGUACUUGAUUCAUCCCGGUAGCACUAAAAUGUAUAGGGACCUAAAACCCUACUACUGGUGGACAACGAUGAAGCUCGAUGUUGCGAAGUAUGUGGCCGAGUGUGUGACAUGUGCGAGAGUUAAGGCACAUCAUCAGAAACCGUAUGGGAGUUUAGAACCCUUACCUGUACCCAUGGGUAAGUGGGAAGACAUCACCAUGGAUUUUGUGACUAACUGCCCAGGACGAAGAACGGACACGACAUGAUUUGGGUAGCCGUGGAUCGUUUCACCAAGAGUGCAUACUUCAUAGCAGCCAACGAGAAGUGGUCUAUGGAUAAGCUCGCAAAUGCUUACGUGAAGGAAAUUGUAAGACUUCACGGUGUUCCUCUUACGAUUGUAUCAGAUCGUGAUAGUCGUUUCACGUCAAGGUUUUGGAGGAGUCUACAAGAGGAGUUAGGUACAAAGUUGUGUUUGAGUACUGCUUAACAUCCGCAGACUGAUGGCCAGAGCAAAAGAACGAUUCAGACACUAGAAGAUAUGUUGAGAGCAUGUACCGUCGAGUUCCAAGGGAACUGGGACGAGCGCUUACCUCUGGUAGAAUUCUCCUACAACAACAGUUUGCACUCGAGCAUCAAGAUGGCACCUUAUCAAGCCUUGUAUGGACAGAAGUGUCGUACGCCGUCUUGUUGGCUUGAAGCCGGAGAGAAGCAGUUUAUGGGCCCCGAGAUAGUCCAUGAGACUGCUGAGAAGUUGAAGGUGAUUAGGGAAAGGAUGUUAGCAGCCCAGGAUCGUCAGAAGAGCUAUGCUGACAAGAAAAGACGACCGAUAACUUUCGAAGUUGGGGAUUCCGUUUUGCUUAAAGUCUCACCGUGGAAGGGACUUAUACGAUUUGGGAAACGAGGAAAGUUGAGUCCAAGGUUUAUUGGACCGUUCAAAGUUCUUCAGAAGAUANAAAGCUGAAGGUGUCAGGGAAAGAAUGUUAGCAGCUCAGGAUCGUCAGAAGAGCUAUGCUGACAAGAGAAGACGACCGAUAACCUUCGAAGUUGGGGAUUCAGUUUUGCUAAAAGUCUCACCGUGGAAGGGACUUAUAAGAUUCAGGAAACGAGGGAAGUUGAGUCCAAGGUUUAUUGGACCGUUCAAAGUUCUUCAGAAGAUUGGGAACCAAGCUUACAAGCUGGAAUUGCCCGAAGAACUCAAUGGUAUUCAUAACACCUUCCAUGUGUGUUAUUUGAGAAAAUUCACGGGAGAUGUUCCUGACAUAAUUCCAGUCUCAGAGUUAAGGAUGGAUGAGAAUAAGAGGCUGAUCGAAGAGCCCGAGGCAAUUGUUGACUGUAAGACUAAGAAUUUAUGACGCAAGAUGGUCGAAUUAGUGCUAGUCCGAUGGAAACAAUCGAAUGGGCCGAAUCUCACUUGGGAAACAGAGGAUGACAUGAUGAGCUGCUAUCCACAUCUGUUUGCUGAUGCAUGAUUCCGUCCUAAGGGGGAGUGAAUUUUAACGCUCGGGUUUCAGGGCUAAGCAUUUUUGACAAUGUAAUAGUCUAGGUCAACUAUUGUAACUCUUUUUGAAGUAAUAAACAUGAAAUAUUAAGCCCGAUAUCUUUAUAUAAAGUUGUAGUGGUCGAAACAAGGAUUCUGGGGAUAUAAAGAACGUCGAAAUCCGAGUUAUAACGAAGAAGUUAUGACCCGUCGAAGUUUCGCGACAGAACCGCCACGAUACCGGGAAGCGUAAAUGGUGAAUUUACAAUAGAGCGAGAUUUAGCCUUAGCGCUCUAAACAAAAGUCGUAGAACAUGUUAAACUAAGAACAUCGAUAAAAAGAACGCCCAAAUCUGACUUCGUAUGAAGAAGUUAUGAUUUUUCGAAGUUUCGGAUUAGCAGUGUACAGCCCGAAAUUCGAAUAUUAGAUCGAGCGAUUUUUAGCCGUCAUGACCUAAACGAGAAUCGAAGAUCUCGUUAAAAGUAGCAUAACGAGAAAAAGAUGGGCGAAAACGGACGUCGGAUGAAGAAGUUAUGAGGAUUUAACGGACCAAUCCUAUCCCAGCCUGUUAAUAAUAUAAAAUUUAAAAUCGAUUCAAAAUUAGGCGACGGAGUCUAAACAAAAGUUGUAGAGUUCGUUCCCACCUUCGCGUGGAUAUAAAGAACGUCAAAACGGAGCUCGUAUGCGAAAGUUAUGAUUUUUAGAAGUCGAGAAUGCAAUUUGCGAAAUCUGUUGCUUGAUCGAUGACGUGGCUCAAUCCUGACCGUCGCUUGCUGAUCACGGCUCGCUUCUGAUGAAGGACACGUUGCCUCGCAUUACGCCCAGCGUCCGAAAUCUGUACGCCCCGCGUACCCUCGCUCUGAUAUGCUCCAAGUGUAAGACAGCUGAAGGCUCGCUGGCAACCUUAUCCGAUGACUACGCCCCGCAUAGGUCCGAGGUACGCCCAGCGUACCGCGGCGUCACAGGGCUAUAAAAGGGGGCCGAUUAUCCUUCAUUUUUCACACCUUUCUUCACUCUCUCUCUAACUUCUUUCUCUCUCUANNNNNNNNNNNNNNNNNNNNNNNNNNNNNNNNNNNNNNNNNNNNNNNNNNNNNNNNNNNNNNNNNNNNNNNNNNNNNNNNNNNNNNNNNNNNNNNNNNNNNNNNNNNNNNNNNNNNNNNNNNNNNNNNNNNNNNNNNNNNNNNNNNNNNNNNNNNNNNNNNNNNNNNNNNNNNNNNNNNNNNNNNNNNNNNNNNNNNNNNNNNNNNNNNNNNNNNNNNNNNNNNNNNNNNNNNNNNNNNNNNNNNNNNNNNNNNNNNNNNNNNNNNNNNNNNNNNNNNNNNNNNNNNNNNNNNNGAAAAUUGUUUUGAGAGUAUCGAAGCGCUGUCCGAGUGCUGAGUCACCACCUUUCAGGUGAGUGCAUAGUUACUUUCAGCUUACACAUAGAUAUGAAGUAUUUUAUAUAAAUUACGUGCUAUGUGUGCAUAUUAUCUGAAUACUUGCUAUCUAUGCUGGAUGAACAUUGUUAUACAUGUUUUCAAUGAUUUAAACUGUAUAUGUAUUUUAUAUCUACGAAAAUGUUGGGGUAAAACAUGGGUAGAUGUAAUAGGUGAUGUGUGAUAAAAUGAUGAGAGGCCUCGAUGUUGAUGUUGUUGUUUCUGUCAUCUAGCGGAGUAUGGAUGACGACCACGGACUCUUCUAGACAGUCCAGUGGAACACUAGCAGGCUCGCAACCUGUAGGUGUUUGUGAACGAUGUGUUCACCGGUGUACUCCAUCCCCCACAUGGUUGCCUUUAGGACAUUUAUUGCUAAGGAAUCCCCUUAGCAGUAGUGUCCAUCCCGAUGAUGAUCCUUAGGCUAGGUCCCUUAUGAUAGGUGUUUAGGGACGUAAAAUGAGGAUAACGGGAAUGGGUAAUUGGGUUAUUAUUGAUUGAUGAAAUUAAUAAACUUAUUU